rnacentral:rRNA from 1 species
GCGCAUACGGUGGAUGCCUUGGCAGUCAGAGGCGAUGAAGGACGUAGGAGCCUGCGAUAAGCGUUGGUGAGCUGGCAAGCAAGCUUUGACCCAACGAUUUCCGAAUGGGGAAACCCAACCAACAUAAGUUGGUUAUCUUGCACUGAAUUCAUAGGUGUAAGAAGCGAACGGGGGGAACUGAAACAUCUAAGUACCCCUAGGAACAGAAAUCAACCGAGAUUCCCUUAGUAGCGGCGAGCGAACGGGGACCAGCCGAGCCAUGAGAGUGACCAGAACAAUCUGGAAAGGUUGACCAUAGUGGGUGACAGUCCCGUAUGGGAAGCUCAAUUGGACGUAUUAAGUAGGGCGGGACACGUGAAAUCCUGUCUGAACAUGGGGGGACCACCCUCUAAGGCUAAGUACUCCUUACUGACCGAUAGUGAACCAGUACCGUGAGGGAAAGGCGAAAAGCACCCCGACGAGG